rnacentral:rRNA from 1 species
CGGGUAAUUGAGAGUGGCGAACGGGUGCGUAACGCGUAUGCAACCUACCCUAUACAGGAGGAUAGCCCGGAGAAAUCUGGAUUAAUACCCCAUAGUAUCAUUGAGCUGCAUGGUUUAAUGAUUAAAGAUUCAUCGGUAUAGGAUGGGCAUGCGUCUGAUUAGCUAGUUGGCGGUGUAACGGACCACCAAGGCUACGAUCAGUAGGGGUUCUGAGAGGAAGGUCCCCCACACUGGCACUGAGAUACGGGCCAGACUCC